rnacentral:rRNA from 1 species
CCUACGGGUGGCAGCAGUGGGGAAUAUUGGGCAAUGGGCGCAAGCCUGACCCAGCAACGCCGCGUGAAGGAAGAAGGCCCUCGGGUUGUAAACUUCUUUUAUUCGGGACGAAACAACUCACGGUACCGAAUGAAUCAGACACGGCUAACUACGUGCCAGCAGCCGCGGGAAUACGUAGGGGGCAGGCGUUAUCCGGAUUUACUGGGUGUAAAGGGCGUGUAGGCGGGAGUGCCAGGCAGACGGGAAAUUCGAGGACUCAACCCUGGAACUGCGUUUGAAACUGAUCUUCUUGAGUGAGGGAGAGGCAGGCGGAAUUCCGGGUGUAGCGGUGAAAUGCGUAGAUAUACGGAGGAACACCAGUGGCGAAGGCGGCCUGCUGGACAUUAACUGACGCUGAGGCGCGAAAGCGUGGGGAGCAAACAGGAUUAGAUACCCGUGUAGUC